CACGCCGUAAACGAUGGAUGCUAGCUGUACGGAGUAUCGACCCUCUGUGUAGCGAAGCUAACGCGUUAAGCAUCCCGCCUGUGGAGUACGGCCGCAAGGCUAAAACAUAAAGGAAUUGACGGGGACCCGCACAAGCGGUGGAGCGUGUUGUUUAAUUCGAUGAUAAGCGAAGAACCUUACCAAGGUUUGACAUCCUACUAAUCUUUCCGAAAGGAAGGAGUGCCUUCGGGCCGUAGUGACAGGUGA
rnacentral:rRNA from 1 species